CCUACGGGAGGCUGCAGUGGGGAAUAUUGCGCAAUGGGCGAAAGCCUGACGCAGCGACGCCGCGUGAGGGAUGAAGGUCCUCGGAUUGUUAAACUCCGUUAGCAGGGAAGCACGGUCACUGUGCUAAUCCGCAGUGAAUUGACGGUACCUGCAAAGGAAGCACCGGCUAACUCCGUCCCAGCAGCCGCGGUAAUACGGAGGGUGCGAGCCUUAAUCGGAAUUACUGGGCGUAAAGCGCUCGUAGGCGGUAUGUCAAGUCUAGGGUGAAAUCCCCGGGCUCAACCUGGGAACGGCCUUUGAAACUGGGAAACUGGAGUGUGUGAGAGGAUAGUGGAAUUCGAGGUGUAGGAGUGAAAUGCGUAGAGAUCGGGAGGAACAUUAGUGGCGAAGGCGACUAUCUGGCACAUAACUGACGCUGAGGAGCGAAAGCGUGGGUAGCAAACAGGAUUAGAUACCCGAGUAGUC
rnacentral:rRNA from 1 species